rnacentral:rRNA from 1 species
GUGGGGAAUAUUGGGCAAUGGGCGCAAGCCUGACCCAGCAACGCCGCGUGAAGGAAGAAGGCUUUCGGGUUGUAAACUUCUUUUACCAGGGACGAAACAAAUGACGGUACCUGGUGAAUAAGCAACGGCUAACUACGUGCCAGCAGCCGCGGUAAUACGUAGGUGGCGAGCGUUAUCCGGAUUUAUUGGGUGUAAAGGGCGUGUAGGCGGGACAGCAAGUCAGAUGUGAAAACCAGAGGCUCAACCUCUGGCCUGCAUUUGAAACUGUUGUUCUUGAGUGUCGGAGAGGUAAUCGGAAUUCCGUGUGUAGCGGUGAAAUGCGUAGAUAUACGGAGGAACACCAGUGGCGAAGGCGGAUUACUGGACGAUAACUGACGCUGAGGCGCGAAAGCGUGGGGAGCAAACAGGAUUAGAUACCCUAGUAGUCC